rnacentral:rRNA from 1 species
UACAGAGGUCCCAAGCGUUGUUCGGAUUUACUGGGCGUAAAGGGUGCGUAGGUGGCGGGGUAAGUCUGGUGUGAAAGCUCCGAGCUCAACUCGGAAAAGCAUUGGAAACUAUCCCGCUUGAGGGUCGGAGGGGAGACUGGAAUUCUCGGUGUAGCAGUGAAAUGCGUAGAUAUCGAGAGGAACACCAGUGGCGAAGGCGAGUCUCUGGACGACUCCUGACACUGAGGCACGAAAGUGUGGGGAUCAAACAGG